rnacentral:lncRNA from 1 species
UAUUAAAGUAAGAAGAGAAGGCGAGCAAGCCUGUGGGCUACAGAGUUCCUGGAGGGCGAUAAAAUCGCCACUCUGAGGACACCAAGACACAAGGCAGUGUCCCCCAUGUGAUGCAACAGGAUGGGAACUGAACAUGGCGGAAGUGAGCAGAGAAGAGUGCAAUGAUUUUAGGAUCAAUGAUUUCUGAAAAUGAACAUUUUUAAUAAAGCAGCUCUGGACUGUGAUUCCUAACUAUUGGGGCAUUGGCAUUAAAGAAAAGAGAUUGGACAUUUUGAACCUUGUGUGGUAAGGCAAAAAAUAACACUGAAUCGAAG